CCUAAGUCCUUCCUCAAUCUAUAGCUUUCUUUGUACGUGUGAGUCCAGAUUCUUUUUCUUCUCAGAAGGUAAUGGGAUUUGAUAAGAAGGUGAUGGGAUUUGGUGGAUGAGGGGCUCAAGGCGAAAGUGGUGGGAAAGGAUGAUGGAGAUUGAAGAUGAACUGAUGAUGAUUUUGAUGGAGGUUUCGACAUUCUUCCAUGGUUCCAGAUGUUUUACUGGAAACAUUAAACUUUACCCACCAUGUGUAAAGAGUUGGCAUUUUUGCCAAUUGGGAUAUAUUUCAAAGCAUUUCGGGCUGUGAUCAAUGGAAGAUUUGUGAGGCCUACGCACAUUGUAAUAGCUAUGAUCCUAUGGAUGAAAGACAUUUAGGUUUUUCUUUUGUUGCUCAUUACCCUGCUAUGAUUUGUGUAAGGAUCCUUGCACCGUAAUUGAUUUAUGCAAUAUGUCAUUGUACUACA